rnacentral:lncRNA from 1 species
AGUGGCCCAACAGGUGAUCAACGGGAAAGCGGCAGUGCUUGCCACACACGGGAGGCCAGCAGGUGGCACCAGGGGGCCGCCCGGCUGCUCUCUUUGCGCCCUAGCCUGCCGUAGUUCCCAGCGUGCUCCGGAAGUGACGCGACCGAUUCGCUGGGGCGCGUCUUUCCCACCACGAGGCCACCAGGGUGACUGCGGGAUUCCGAUCUGCGCCGGAGCUGCGAUGCUAGAGCACUCUUGCCACCCCCACCCCACGGACGUGUUGCAGUGAUAUCAGAAUUUUGCGUGCGGUUUACCCGUGUUUAACCUCUUUGCGUCUCGCUUCUGAAUCGUAUCCACUUGAGCAUCACUAGACUGAUCUAUUUUAACACUGGUGGGGGGCAGCGAGGACAUGGUUUUAAACUUUAAAAUGAAAAUGUGAAACUAGGAAUGUUGCUGUGAGACCCCUUGGACAAACAGAUUUUUGCACUGGGGAUAGAACUUGAGCAAUUUCUGUCUUGGCCUCGCCACUGACGUCCCUUCUUUCCUGUGGGGACAGGAUGGACAGAUUCCUGGUGAAAGGGGCUCAAGGGGGCCUUUUGAGGAAGCAGGAGGAGCAAGAGCCAACUGGAGAAGAGCCAGCUGUGUUGGGAGGAGACAAAGAAAGCACAAGGAAGAGGCCCAGGAGAGAGGCCCCAGGGAAUGGAGGCCACUCAGCAGGCCCUAGCUGGCGGCACAUUCGGGCUGAGGGCCUGGACUGCAGUUACACAGUCCUGUUUGGCAAAGCUGAGGCAGAUGAGAUUUUCCAAGAGUUGGAGAAAGAAGUAGAAUAUUUUACAGGUAAGCAGAGGGGUGUGUGUGUGUGUGUGUGUGCAUUGAGGGCUUGUUUGGUGCAAUUAAUGAUCGUAUGUUUGGAGAAAUCUGAACUCAGGAUCCAUUAUUUACUGAUGGGUUCACUAAUGGAUUCAUCCAAUAUUCUCUGAGCACCUCUGGGCUAAGCCCCUUAGGUGCUUGGGACAUAAACUUGAAAGAAACUGGAUUGCCUGUCUACUAGGAGCUGACAGAUGACUCGAGUGAAUCUCUCCUUGGCUA